rfam:Xenopus tropicalis strain Nigerian Chr07_contig_3115, whole genome shotgun sequence.
CCAAAGGCCCUUUUAAGGGCCACUCCAAUGUCUAAAUAGAGCUGUA